AUUAAAGUGGCAGACCACAAAUGCGAGGAAUUUAAGCUUCCUCUAUGAUUCUUUCCUUUAAUA
rnacentral:tRNA from 2 species